GGAGAGGUCGCUACGUGGCAAGGUAACUCGUCCUGAAAACGAGCGCCGUUGAAACCGGUUGCGAGUUCAACUCUCGCCCUCUCCU
rnacentral:tRNA from 1 species